rnacentral:piRNA from 1 species
UGGCGUUUGGUGUUUUCCUCUGGAAUCAGUC